rnacentral:rRNA from 1 species
UACGAAGGGGGCGAGCGUUGUUCGGAUUUACUGGGCGUAAAGGGCGCGCAGGCGGUCUUGAAAGUCAGGCGUGAAAGCCCCGGGCUUAACCUGGGAAUUGCGCUUGAUACUCUGAGACUGGAGUACGGGAGAGGAGAGUGGAAUUCCCAGUGUAGAGGUGAAAUUUGUAGAUAUUGGGAAGAACACCAGUGGCGAAGGCGGCUCUCUGGACCGUAACUGACGCUGAGGCGCGAAAGCGUGGGGAGCAAACAGG